UUUCCACUACAUCCUCGCGACUAAUGAGAGGCUUUAUCUCAAGCUGGGGAUAAAGCCUCUCAUUAGUCGCGCGAACCUCUGUAACGGAAAAACCUGUUUUGGGAGCAUCAAGCAAUACAUUAACCUGAUUUGCUUAUGCUUCCUAGAAAAAAGGGGCCAUGAUAGGCCCCUUUUC
rfam:Serratia symbiotica genome assembly, type strain CWBI-2.3T, contig: SYMBAF_Contig_16